rnacentral:rRNA from 1 species
GAUGAACGCUGGCGGCGUGCCUAAUACAUGCAAGUCGAGCGAACAGACGAGGAGCUUGCUCCUCUGACGUUAGCGGCGGACGGGUGAGUAACACGUGGAUAACCUACCUAUAAGACUGGGAUAACUUCGGGAAACCGGAGCUAAUACCGGAUAAUAUAUUGAACCGCAUGGUUCAAUAGUGAAAGACGGUUUUGCUGUCACUUAUAGGUGGAUCGACGCCGCAUUAGCUAGUUGGUAAGGUCACGGCUUACCAAGGCAGCGAUGCGUAGCCGACCUGCGAGGGUGAUCGGCCACACUGGAGCUGGGACACGGUCCAGACUCCUACGGGAGGCAGCAGUAGGGAAUCUUCCGCAAUGGGCGAGAGCUUGACGGAGCAACGCCGCGUGAGUGAUGAAGGUCUUCGGAUCGUAAAACUCUGUUAUUAGGGAAGAACAAAUGUGUAAGUAACUAUGCACGUCUUGACGGUACCUAAUCAGAAAGCCACGGCUAACUACGUG